CACGUAGGGUGCGAGCGUUGUCCGGAAUUAUUGGGCGUAAAGAGCUCGUAGGCGGUGUGUCGCGUCGGCCGUGAAAACCUGCAGCUUAACUGUGGGCUUGCGGUCGAUACGGGCAUCACUGGAGUUCGGCAGGGGGAGACUGGAAUUCCUUGGUGUAGCGGUGAAAUGCGCAGAUAUCAGGAGGAACACCGGUGGCGAAGGCGGGUCUCUGGACAGUUCCUGACGCUGAGGCACGAAGGUCAGGGGAGCAAACGGG
rnacentral:rRNA from 1 species